rnacentral:rRNA from 1 species
CCAGCAGCCGCGGUAAUACGUAGGGGGCAAGCGUUGUUCGGAAUUACUGGGUGUAAAGGGAGUGUAGGCGGGGAGAUAAGUUAGGAGUUAAAUCCUCAGGCUUAACUUGAGAUCUGCUCUUAAUACUGUUUCUCUUGAAUAUGGGAGAGGGUGAUGGAAUUCCAGGUGUAGCGGUGGAAUGCGUAGAUAUCUGGAAGAACACCAGUUGCGAAGGCGGUCACCUGGCCCAAUAUUGACGCUGAGGCUCGAAAGCUAGGGGAGCAAACAGGAUUAGAUACCCUGGUAGUCCUAGCCUUAAACGAUGGACACUAGAUGCUGGAGAAGUCAAUCUCUUCAGUGUCGUAGCAAACGCGAUAAGUGUCCCACCUGGGGAGUACGCUCGCAAGGGUGAAACUCAAAGGAAUUGACGGGGGCCCGCACA